AUUUACCAUCAUAAUAAAAUUCUAAGAUAGAUUGUAUAGAUUUGGAGAAAAGUUAUGGAAAAAAAUAAGAUGAAAGCUAAUGGAGUUAUGAUUAUGAUCAUAAUUAUGUUGGAUUUCUCACAAGCUAUCUCCAAACCUUCACUUGAUCGAAUUGAACCAAAUCGUGUAUAUGAUAAACUCGAUUGUCUUCAAAAAUGUGAAUUAAAAUGUUUACCUUUACUAAUAGCUCCUGGUCUAUAUGUUGUAUGUGUUAAAAAGUGUUAUGACAAUAUAUGUCAUGAUAAACCACCCAUCAAUGCCAUCAACGAUUGUAUCAUUGGCUGUGGUUUGAUCAAGUCCAUUGACAUUAAUAUUGAUGCUCGUGAAAUUGCAAACCUGGUGGAUUCAUGCGUGCAAAAGUGUCGAAACAAGUAGUAAUUUAUUACAUGAAUAUUUAUAAAAAAGGUUGCCAUGAGAAAUAAUACUAAUGCAUGCAUGAUUCUAAUAAAUAAGUUAUAGCCCAUGAAUAACAUUUUUAUUUUUUUAUUUUAUGCAAA